AAAAAGCGUGGGGAGCGAACAUGAUUAGAUACCUUGGUAGUCUACGCCGUAAACGAUGAGUGUUAAGUGUCGGAGGGUUUCCGCCAUUCAGUGCUGCAGCAAACGCAUUAAGCACUCCGCCUGGGGAGUACGACCGCAAGGUUGAAACUCAAAGGAAUUGACGGGGGCCCGCACAAGCGGUGGAGCAUGUGGUUUAAUUGGAAGCAACGCGAAGACCCUUACCAGUUCUUGACAUCCUUUGACCACUCUAGAGAUAGAGCUUCCCCUUCGGGGGCAAAGUGACAGGUGGUGCAUGGUUGUCGUCAGCUCGUGUCGUGAGAUGUUGGGUUAAGUCCCGCAACGAGCGCAACCCUUAUUGUUAGUUGCCAUCAUUUAGUUGGGCAUUUUAGCGAGACUGCCGGUGACAAACCGGAGGAAGGUGGGGAUGACGUCAAAUCAUCAUGCCCCUUAUGACCUGGGCUACACACGUGUUCCAAUGGGAAGUACAACGAGUUGCGAAGUCGCGAGGUUAAGCUAAUUUCUUAAAGCUUUUCUCAGUUCGGAUUGUAGGCUGCAAUUCCCUUACAUGAAGCCGGAAUCGUUAGUAUUCGCGGAUCAGCACGCCGCGGGGAAUACGUUCCCGGCCCUU
rnacentral:rRNA from 1 species